rnacentral:misc_RNA from 1 species
UAUGAGGAAACCAAAUUAAAACUUGAGAAUUCUCCGGCAUGUACUUUUUGCCUCUGCUUUCUCGAUGUGUAACGAAGUCAAGUGAUGUAACGGAGGAUGGUUGUGUUUUGGAGAUUGUGCUAGGGAGAAUGAUCUUGUGGAGUUUUGUUUAGGAACGAACACUCACCAUGUUAUGUGCUUAUCCGAUUGUCUUUCCAUAUUAACAACCAUUCUUUUGAAGUCGCACAUUGGCUGGCCGAUAGCCCCUGAACUAAAAUUUUACGAUGUUUGGUUGGAACUAUUGCAAGGGAGUGAUUAUAGGGUCUGUUUGGAUGGCUGCAGAUUUGAAGUAAAGAUGGAUUUUGAUGUGUUUCAAGUACAAAAUCAAGAAAAUAUGAAUAUAGCGUCAAAUUUAAAAUGUCUUUAUUUCAAAUCCUUAUUUGUUCAAAUGAACUUAAUCCUAUUUUUUUUUAAUUAAUGUUCAAUAUACUAUCUACAACGG